rnacentral:tRNA from 1 species
GGGAGUGUAGCUUAGUAGUAGAGUACUUGUCUAGUACGUGUGAGGCUCUGGGUGGGAUCCCCAGCAUUGCUA